GGGCUCGUAGCUCAGUGGCAGAGCGGUCGGCUCAUAACCGAUUGGUCGUAGGUUCGAAUCCUGCCGAGCCCAC
rnacentral:tRNA from 1 species